UCGUUUAGGUCAGCAAUAAAUUUCCAAGUUCAGCUCAGCGCUUGCUAUCAGAAUGGUGCUCUCAAGACGUCGGAAAACUUGGCCAUAUAUUUCCUGGUGCAAAGCUCCUGUCUCGACCUAGGUUUGAUUUUUUUAAUGGUAUGCCAUGUGGCGAAAUAUAGGGUCACGUAUUCUUGGCUACAAAUUUACCUUCAUGGCUUGACGAUUGAUAAUAAAUCUUAAAUUCACAAUUUUUCAUGGAUUUAAUGCGACUGAAAUAAAUUUCUUAGUUCUUAACCCCUUCUACACGAUAAAGAAAUAAUCAUUUAACCUUUAGCAUGGGUAGACAGCAGAGGCAUGUUUAAGUCAUCGAAAUCUGCUUAAUGCUCGUUUUCGAAAUGAUGUAUUUCCAUGUAAAAAUAAUGUGGCUACAUGGUUCCCUCGUAGAAAGGGAACAAAGUGAAGGCAUUAUCCAGCAGGCCGGGGAAUGAGUCCACAUACCGUCUACUUCGGUACCUUCAAAGCGAUAAUUCAUGUGAAUCAGUGAGGAACUUCCUCAGUUUGAGAGCUUGAGAGGAAAAUUGGGGGAUUUUUGCAGGGUUCACCGAGUACAUUGAAAUGAAGUCGGCAGACCAAUUGAAGAUCUCCUGGACCCACUGAGCCAUGCCUGCCGGUGGCAACAUUGAGUGAGAAAGGGUGGGGCCGGCAGAGCGUAGUCGAAAGAAUGGAUGCCGUCAACUGCAACAGUUAUAAAUA